UGACCGCUGGCGGCGUGCCUACUACAUGCACGUCGAGCGAACGGACGCGAAGCUUGCUUCUCUGAUGUUAGCGGCGGACGGGUGAGUAACACGUGGAUAACCUACCUAUAAGACUGGGAUAACUUCGGGAAACCGGAUCUAAUACCGGAUGAUAUUUUGAACCGCAUGGUUCAAAAGUGAAAGACGGUCUUGCUGUCACUUAUAGAUGGAUCCGCGCUGCAUUAGCUAGUUGGUAAGGUAACGGCUUACCAAGGCAACGAUGCAUAGCCGACCUGAGAGGGUGAUCGGCCACACUGGAACUGAGACACGGUCCAGACUCCUACGGGAGGCAGCAGUAGGGAAUCUUCCGCAAUGGGCGAAAGCCUGACGGAGCAACGCCGCGUGAGUGAUGAAGGUCUUCGGAUCGUAAAACUCUGUUAUUAGGGAAGAACAUAUGUGUAAGUAACUGUGCACAUCUUGACGGUACCUAAUCAGAAAGCCACGGCUAACUACGUG
rnacentral:rRNA from 1 species